CAAUAGUGUAUAUUAAAGUUGUUGCAGUUAAAAAGCUCGUAGUUGAACUUCUGAUAGUGUGCAGUUCUGGUUUCUAUCAAGCUGCAUUGCUAUCAUCCGUCUGCAAACUCUGUUCAAACUUCACUGGUUGACAGGGGGAGUAGACAUUUUACUUUGAAAAAAUUAGAGUGUUUCAAGCAGGUUAUUGCCAGAAUACUUUAGCAUGGAAUAAUGGAAUAGGACUCUUGUCCAUUUGGUUGGUUAUUGGCCAAGAGUAAUGAUUAAUAGGGAUAGUUGGGGGCAUUAGUAUUUAAUUGUCAGAGGUGAAAUUCAUGGAUUUAUUAAAGACUAACUUAUGCGAAAGCAUUUGCCAAGGAUGUUUUCAUUAA
rnacentral:rRNA from 1 species